ACGGGAGGCAGCAGUGGGGAAUAUUGCACAAUGGGGGAAACCCUGAUGCAGCGACGCCGCGUGAGCGAAGAAGUAUUUCGGUAUGUAAAGCUCUAUCAGCAGGGAAGAAAAUGACGGUACCUGACUAAGAAGCCCCGGCUAACUGCGUGCCAGCAGCCGCGGUAAUACGUAGGGGGCAAGCGUUAUCCGGAUUUACUGGGUGUAAAGGGAGCGUAGGUGGCAUGGUAAGCCAGAAGUGAAAACCCGGGGCUCAACCCCGCGGAUUGCUUUUGGAACUAUCAGGCUGGAGUGCUGGAGGGGUAAGCGGAAUUCCUAGUGUAGCGGUGAAAUGCGUAGAUAUUAGGAGGAACACCGGUGGCGAAGGCGGCUUCCUGGACAGUAACUGACACUGAGGCUCGAAAGCGUGGGGAGCAAACAGGAUUAGAUACCCUGGUA
rnacentral:rRNA from 1 species